GAUGAACGCUGGCGGCGUGCCUUACACAUGCAAGUCGAACGGCAGCACGGGUGCUUGCACCUGGUGGCGAGUGGCGAACGGGUGAGUAAUAUAUCGGAACGUACCUUAUUGUGGGGGAUAACGCAGCGAAAGCUGUGCUAAUACCGCAUAAUCCCUAAGGGGGAAAGCGGGGGACCGUAAGGCCUCGCGCAAUUAGAGCGGCCGAUACCUGAUUAGCUAUUUGGUGAGGUAAAGGCUCACCAAGGCAACGAUCAGUAGCUGGUCUGAGAGGACGAUCAGCCACCCUGGGACUGAGACACGGCCCAGACUCCUACGGGAGGCAGCAGUGGGGAAUUUUGGACAAUGGGGGCAACCCUGAUCCAGCAAUGCCGCGUGAGUGAAGAAGGCCUUCGGGUUGUAAAGCUCUUUUGUCAGGGAAGAAACAGCAGCUCUAACACAGUUUGCGAAUGACGGUACCUGAAGAAUAAGCACCGGCUAACUACGUGCCAGCCGCCGCCGUAA
rnacentral:rRNA from 1 species